AUUGAACGCUGGCGGCAGGCCUAACACAUGCAAGUCGAGCGGCAGCGGAAAGUAGCUUGCUACUUUGCCGGCGAGCGGCGGACGGGUGAGUAAUGUCUGGGAAACUGCCUGAUGGAGGGGGAUAACUACUGGAAACGGUAGCUAAUACCGCAUGAUGUCGCAAGACCAAAGAGGGGGACCUUCGGGCCUCUUGCCAUCAGAUGUGCCCAGAUGGGAUUAGCUAGUAGGUGGGGUAACGGCUCACCUAGGCGACGAUCCCUAGCUGGUCUGAGAGGAUGACCAGCCACACUGGAACUGAGACACGGUCCAGACUCCUACGGGAGGCAGCAGUGGGGAAUAUUGCACAAUGGGCGCAAGCCUGAUGCAGCCAUGCCGCGUGUAUGAAGAAGGCCUUCGGGUUGUAAAGUACUUUCAGCGGGGAGGAAGGUGCUGAGGUCAAUAACCUCAGCAAUUGACGUUACCCGCAGAAGAAGCACCGGCUAACUCCGUGCCAGCCGCCGCCGUAA
rnacentral:rRNA from 1 species